UACAGAGGGGGCAAGCGUUGUUCGGAAUUACUGGGCGUAAAGGGCGCGUAGGCGGCCUUCUAAGUCGAACGUGAAAUCCCCGGGCUCAACCCGGGAACUGCUUCCGAUACUGGAAGGCUUGAAUCCGGGAGAGGGAUGCGGAAUUCCAGGUGUAGCGGUGAAAUGCGUAGAUAUCUGGAGGAACACCGGUGGCGAAGGCGGCAUCCUGGACCGGUAUUGACGCUGAGGCGCGAAAGCCAGGGGAGCAAACGGG
rnacentral:rRNA from 1 species